UGGACAUUUUAAAUUUUUAUUUGUUUUCAUCUGCUGUUUACACUUCUGCUGCAUUGUUAUUGUAUACACCAAGUACUUUUCUUGAUUUCUUUGUGAAACAAAUUACAAAUAUAGUAUCCUCAUAAUAUCACUAUAACAUUUCAAAGGUGAAUGUCUAAAACCUCCACCCUAUGUCUAUAUCAGACCAAUAAUUUUGAAGAUUUGUAUUUUGUUGUUAAUUAUCAUUCAUCUUUGUUAACAGUCCUAUACAAAAUAUGAACUUGCUCAAUUUAUAUACUGAACAUUGGUCCACAACUCCACAUUUUUUGAAUUAUGGAAAGUUGGUGCUCACUUUCUCAGUUAAUAAUUUUAUUGUCCUUUUGUGUGGGAGAAGAAAAACAUGUUUCAAAUUUGGUAAAAAACAUGUAUGAGUUGAAUGAAUAUUUUCUUCUUUGUUUGUGACAAUUUUUUUUUACACAAUUGUAGAUGGCAGAAGCAAAAAAAGUUUAUUCUGAAGAGGUUCACCUUCUUGGUAGAUGACCAAGUUCUUUAUGUGGUGGCGUAUGUGAUCUCUCAAUACUAGGAAAAAGGAGAAUAUAUGCAGAUUAAGAAAGUUUUAUAGGAAAAAAAAGGAGAAUAUAUGCAGAUUAAGAAAGUUCAUUGUGGGAGGAUUUAAAUCGAAUUCUACACACUCUACAUUUGUCAAGUUCUAUACAUAAGAGCAAGAAAAGUUUAUCAUGAAGAGGUUGAACUUCUUGGGAGAUGACCAAGUUUUUAUGUGGCGGCUUCUGUGAUAUCUCAAUAGGAUAUAUGUUCACUUUAAAUUCAUGUCAUAUUGUAUAAUUAAGGGAAAAUUACAAUGACCUCCCCUAAAUUCUAUUGUAAUGACAAAAACACCCCCUCUAAGUUUUUAAUAGACACAAACCUCCCCUAAAGUCUAUUGAAAUAGACAAACACCUCCCCUUUAAACUUACACCGUUUAUUAAUCUGUUAAUUUUAUUAUGAUGAUAAUCUCCCUCCACUGAAACCUUGAAUAUUGUAUCAUUGUUGUAACCUUCUCAAAUAAUUUUUCCUAUUUUAA